GACAGAGGGUGCAAACGUUGUUCGGAAUUACUGGGCGUAAAGCGCGUGUAGGCGGUUAUGCAAGUCGGGUGUGAAAGCCCGGAGCUCAACUCCGGAAGUGCAUUCGAUACUGCGUAGCUAGAGUACUGGAGAGGAUGGUGGAACUCUCGGUGUAGAGGUGAAAUUCGUAGAUAUUCGGAAGAACACCAGUGGCGAAGGCGACUGACUGGACAAGUAUUGACGCUGAGGUGCGAAAGCGUGGGGGAGCAAACAGG
rnacentral:rRNA from 1 species